AAAAAAUUAGUUAAAUUAAUAACAUAAAUAUGUCAAAUUUAAAUUAUUAUAAUAAAUGUAAUAUUUUUUU
rnacentral:tRNA from 1 species